GGCAGUGGUAGCUCAUUGGUUAAGCCGUUGACCUACUGAUCGGAAGGUCAUGAGUUCAAACCCCAGCACUGUCA